AACGAACGCUGGCGGCAGGCUUAACACAUGCAAGUCGAACGCACCUUUCGGGGUGAGUGGCAGACGGGUGAGUAACGCGUGGGAAUCUACCCUUCUCUACGGGAUAGCUCCGGGAAACUGGAAUUAAUACCGUAUACGUCCUGAGGGAGAAAGAUUUAUCGGGGAAGGAUGAGCCCGCGUUGGAUUAGCUAGUUGGUGGGGUAAAGGCCUACCAAGGCGACGAUCCAUAGCUGGUCUAAGAGGAUGAUCAGCCACAUUGGGACUGAGACACGGCCCAGACUCCUACGGGAAGCAGCAGUGGGGAAUAUUGGACAAUGGGCGCAAGCCUGAUCCAGCCAUGCCGCGUGAGUGAUGAAGGCCCUAGGGUUGUAAAGCUCUUUCAGUGGGGACGAUAAUGACGGUACCCACAGAAGAAGCCCCGGCUAACUUCGUG
rnacentral:rRNA from 1 species